AAAACUUUAAAAGAUAAAGGUUUUAUCUUAUUUGAAGUAAUUACCGACAUUUAGAAAUCCAUACAAAAGAGUACAAGCCCUUUAGAAAUGCAUGCGGUAGUGAUAGGUAGACAUAGAACUUUUAUUCCGAAAAUUGCAAAAUCCUAAAUGUUUUAAUGCAUUGCUAACUAAUUAAGAAGUUUGAAUUUAUGGUGAGUAAUCAUCAUCUCCACUACUACCAUAACCUGACCCACUUCCAUAUCCUGAACCACUUCCAUAACCUGAACCAUUGCCUCCACCACCUCCACCUCCACCGCCACCACCUCCUCCUCCUCCUCCACCUCUACCGCCACCACUUCCGUAUCCGGAUCCGGACCCAUAUCCUGAGCCUCCUCCAUUGCCACCAC
rnacentral:lncRNA from 1 species